CAAUCCAGAGAGAUUAUGAACGAUGGAGAGAGAGAGGGAGCUAGAGUGUGUGUUUCUUUGCUUUGCACGAAGAGAUAGAGAGAGAUCGUCAUCUCAGCAAGAGGUCGGUUGCUCUUUGUCACGAGAGUGAUCGGAGAGGUUUUUAUUUGGUGGUUUGUAUCAAAUCUCUUCUCAGCUUUCAUCACCAACCCUAAAAACUUGGGUUUGUCAUCCGCAAGGUAAUUAGUUGAGCGGAUUCUGGGUGUUUUCUCAUCUUUUGUUUUGAGUAACAAGCUAUUUAGUUGUACCCCGGACACUCAGAGAGACAGAGAGGAGGCAAAGUUGAGAGAAAAGAACAGGAGAAGAAGACGACGACGUUCAUAGGCUAUCAGUUCAGUUGUUUUUGUCCUUUCAACAACUUGGCCUUUGGAAUGUUCAGUUGUUCAAUUUGAUCGGAAAGACAGAGAGUUCAAGGUCUGCAUCAAAUUGGCGAACAAACCUGGCCUGUAUCAACCAAUUUAAUUUGUAGACGCCGUAUGUCAACUGUAGGAAAUCAAAUCGUCUAAGGAAAAUUCUUUUUGGAAGUUGAAGACUAUCAUGGUGGUUAAUGGUUGACAAUCACUUAGAUUUGUGUUUGUCAGUUCGAUUUGUACUUCACAAUUUUAUGCAUAGAAAGAAACAAUAACAAGUUUUCUUAUACUUUGCAAAGAAGUUUUAUGUUUCUCUACCUAUCGCUUUAGUUGCUAUACUUCACAAUUUAAUGCAUAGAAAGAAACAAUAAUAAGUUUUCUUAUACUUUGCAAUGAAGUUUUAUGUUUCUCUACC